GCGCCCUUAGCUCAAAUGGACAGAGCGCCGGCCUACGAAGCCGUAGGUUGCCCGUUCGACUCGGGCAGGGCGCGCCA
rnacentral:tRNA from 1 species